rnacentral:lncRNA from 1 species
AUUUGGUACCAACUUGGCCUGAGAACUUAUGGAGAUCUAAUGGCAAUGGAACUGGGGUAUUCAUCCCUCAAAUUGUGAAAUCUAGAAGAUACAGGCGUGGUAUGCGCUUCACAUGAUUCUCUAAACAGGUGAACCUGUUUCAAAGUAUUUAAUUUUCUCAACAAAUGAUUUUAUUUGGAUUGCAGGUGGAGUGAAUAACGUGAGGAGACGAUACACAAGCCAGUGGAGUAUUGCAGAUAGCUAAAUUUGAUUCUUCCCAGAUCAUGUUAUUGAUAGGGGGUUUUAGGUUGCAAUAUAACGCCUGCAAAAGAAUCAACAGCUGUAACAGUACCAACAAUAAGAGAUGUGCUUUAACAUGUAUGCAAAUCGAUAGAAAUAUUUUAACAAUGAUGCCACAUGAAUUCUAAACAUCACCCCAGCUCUGGGAUCAUAACCAAGAAAUGGGAUUUCUGGGUGCCAAUUAUACAGCAGAGCAUCAUUAGAUUACUAGCUAUCUUAUAACACUAUUGUCGCAACGUGAGGUGACGAUUACAUCCAUCCACGGCUAUAGAGCAUGCCUAAUUACACAUGUAAGAUAAAUCUACUCAGCAACCACUCGACCUAUAGUAUUGUAUGUUCUUCUCAAUACCAUACACUUCUAUAUGAUGCAGAACCUUUGACACAGGGGAGGGGGCCGAAAUACCCAGCAACAAUCAAAGAGAUCAAACAAGAAACAAUAUGACAUGCAUGGGGUACUCAAGUCAUCUUUUAAGGUAGCAUCACAUCUAAGCAUUUACUGCAGCAAUGAAGUCACUGAGUCCAUAAAGUAACUUCUUCAUUAGUAAAAGGUAAAAACAAACUCCCUCCAAAUUGCAAGAUUCAUGUAACCAAUGUCUAGCGGCAUGAAAUACAGCUAUUUCAAAUAUCAAUAGAGUAUUCAAGAA